CGCAUAUAAUUUUCAAGUUGCGCCGACAUUGGACGUGCUGGAUGUAGCAAACCAAAAGAUGAAAAUGGCAUUGUAUCAUGAGCAUCGGAUCCUUGCUGUGUGAAAUAUAUGUAUAUGUGGUCUUCGAUGAGGACCAUAAUGAUGAUACAUAUGAGGUACAUAAGGAUGAACUGGCAUUGAAGGCAGCAUAACUGGUGGUGUUGGUUCCAUUUCUACACCAUUCAAAGAAUUUUCCUAAACAAAUAAUAUAAAUGAAUGUUAUAAAAAUUAAAUUUCUGAAAAAACAAUAAAAAAUAAGAAAAAUAAAAAAAUUAUAAAUUCAUUAUAAUUUUAUAUUUAUUAUAAUAUAACUUUUUUGAUUGAAAUUACCAUCACAGAUUGUGCUGGACAUGAUGGGCUAACAUUUGGUGGUCUCCUAGCUUCUGGAUGACUAUAAACAGUAGGUUGUUGUGGUGGUGGUAAAAUUGGAGGAGGAAAAUAAUUUUCUGCAAAUGUCAUAUUUUCCGAACCAUUGCAACGAUUAUUUGCAGGAUUAGGAUUUCCAUUAUUACACGUAUGUUGAUUUGCUUGA